CGAGCCGGCCGGGCGGCCGCGUCGGGUCCCUUCGGGGCCCGCCGAGGAAGGUCCGGGCUCCACAGGGCAGGGUGGUCGGUAACGCCGACCCGGGGUGACCCGCGGGACAGUGCCACAGAAAACAGACCGCCCCUCCCUCGCGGGAGGGGUAAGGGUGAAACGGUGGUGUAAGAGACCACCAGCGCCCACGGCGACGUGGGCGGCUUGGUAAACCCCACCUGGAGCAAGGUCAAGAAGGGACGCUCUCCGGAGCGUUCCGCGCGCGACGUUCGAGGGCUGCCCGCCCGAGCCGCGCGGGUAGACCGCUUGAGGCCGCCGGCAACGACGGCCCUAGAUGGAUGGUCGCCCCUUCACGUCAGUGAAGGACAAAACCCGGCCUACAGGCCGACUCGUCCG
rnacentral:RNase_P_RNA from 1 species